rnacentral:tRNA from 2 species
CCAUGGAUAGCUCAGUGGUAGAGCAUCGGACCUUUAAUCCGACUGUCGCGAGUUCAACUCUCGCUCCAAAAAC